GGUAGCAUAAUCAGUAGUCUCUUAAUUGGAGGCUGGAAUGAAUGGUCGGACAAGAAUCAAGUUGUCUCCUCUAUAGAAUUUGAAUUUAACCUUUAAGUGAAAAGGCUUAAAUAAGCUGAAGGGACGAUAAGACCCUAUAAAACUUUACUAGAUAGAUGUACUUUUUUGAUUGAGAUGUUUAAAGGGUACUUGCAUUUUUCUCGUUUUGUUGGGGCGACAGAAAUAUAAUUUACUUUUUAUAACUGUUAGAAAAAAUAAAUAGUAAUAAUUGAUCCGUACGUAGCGAUUAUAAGAUUAAGUUACUUUAGGGAUAACAGCGUAAUUUUUUUUGAGAGUUCUUAUCGACAAAAUUAGUUGCGACCUCGAUGUUGAAUUAAAGUUUCCUUUUUGUGUAGCAGCAUAUAGGGUGGGUCUGUUCGACC
rnacentral:rRNA from 1 species